UAUCACACAGAAUGCACUGGGUUCAUCUGAUCUCAGAAGCUAAGUAGUGGUCAAGCCUGGUUAGUAUUUGGAUAUGAGAGACACAUUGAAUACAGAAUGAAGUGAUGA
rnacentral:rRNA from 1 species